UUCAACAAUUACAACAGGCUCACUCACCACUGUCUGUCUUAUAAUUAGUAUUAAAUCUCUGUUUUUAUCUGAUAUUAUUCUCUACAUGGUUCCAUUACUCUCAAAUAAAAACAGUACCUUUUUUGAUAUAAAGCACACAUUUACAGUUUUUUUUAAGAAUAGAGCAGAACAACACAGUUACAAAUACUUGAAAAAACAGUUAAGUCAGUGAAUAGAUUUCACAAAAAGUCGUCACAUCUGCAUUAUGUAUGCCCCAGAAGGUCAAAGUUCAGAUCUGAAAUAAAAAUAGAGUUUAAAAACAUCAA